rnacentral:rRNA from 1 species
CGAAACCAGGCGAUCUAUCCAUGAGCAGGUUGAAGGUUGGGUAACACUAACUGGAGGACCGAACCCACUGUCGUUGAAAAGCCAGGGGAUGACUUGUGGAUAGGGGUGAAAGGCUAAUCAAGCCUGGUGAUAGCUGGUUCUCCCCGAAAGCUAUUUAGGUAGCGCCUCGGACGAAUACCAUAGGGGGUAGAGCACUGUUUCGGCUAGGGGGUCAUCCCGACUUACCAAACCGAUGCAAACUCCGAAUACCUAUGAGUACUAUCCGGGAGACAGACUGCGGGUGCUAACGUCCGUAGUCAAGAGGAAAACAAUCCAGACCGCCAGCUAAGGCCCCAAAAUCAUAGUUAAGUGGGAAACGAUGUGGGAAGGCAUAGACAGCUAGGAGGUUGGCUUAGAAGCAGCCACCCUUUAAAGAAAGCGUAAUAGCUCACUAGUCGAGUCGGCCUGCGCGGAAGAUGUAACGGGGCUAAAACUAUGUGCCGAAGCUGCGGAUUUGACAUUAGUCAAGUGGUAGGGGAGCGUUCUGUAAGCCGAUGAAGGUGUAUUGAGAAGUAUGCUGGAGGUAUCAGAAGUGCGAAUGCUGACGUGAGUAACGACAAAACGGGUGAAAAACCCGUUCGCCGAAAGACCAAGGGUUCCAGUCCAACGUUAAUCGGGGCU